GACCCUGUAGCUCAGCCGGUAGAGCAGUGGCCUUUUAAGCCAAUGGUCGUGGGUUCGAUCCCCACCGGGGUCA
rnacentral:tRNA from 1 species